CCUACGGGAGGCAGCAGUAGGGAAUUUUCGACAAUGGGCGCAAGCCUGAACGAGCGACGCCGCGUGAGUGAAGAAGGCUUUCGGCUCGUAAAGCUCUGUUGCGGGGGAAGAAAGUCCGCAUGAGGAAAUGUGUGCAGACUGAUGGUACCCCGCCAGAAAGUCACGGCUAACUACGUGCCAGCAGCCGCGGUAAUACGUAGGUGGCGAGCGUUAUCCGGAAUGAUUGGGCGUAAAGGGGGCGCAGGCGGUCCUGCAAGUCUGGAGUGAAACGCAUGGGCUCAACUUAGGAAUGGCAUUGGAAACUGGAGGACUGGAGAGCAGGAGAGGGCAGUGGAACUCCAUGUGUAGCGGUGAAAUGCGUAGAUAUAUGGAAGAACACCAGUGGCGAAGGCGGCCGCCUGGCCUGUUACUGACGCUGAGGCACGAAAGCGUGGGGAGCAAACAGGAUUAGAUACCCGGGUAGUC
rnacentral:rRNA from 1 species